GACGAACGCUGGCGGCGUGCUUAACACAUGCAAGUCGAACGGAAAGGCCCUGCUUUUGUGGGGUGCUCGAGUGGCGAACGGGUGAGUAACACGUGAGUAACCUGCCCUUGACUUUGGGAUAACUUCAGGAAACUGGGGCUAAUACCGGAUAGGAGCUCCUGCUGCAUGGUGGGGGUUGGAAAGUUUCGGCGGUUGGGGAUGGACUCGCGGCUUAUCAGCUUGUUGGUGGGGUAGUGGCUUACCAAGGCUUUGACGGGUAGCCGGCCUGAGAGGGUGACCGGCCACAUUGGGACUGAGAUACGGCCCAGACUCCUACGGGAGGCAGCAGUGGGGAAUAUUGCACAAUGGGCGGAAGCCUGAUGCAGCAACGCCGCGUGCGGGAUGACGGCCUUCGGGUUGUAAACCGCUUUCGCCUGUGACGAAGCGUGAGUGACGGUAAUGGGUAAAGAAGCACCGGCUAACUACGUGCCAGCCGCCGCCGUAAGAC
rnacentral:rRNA from 1 species